CCAAAGAUCUCAGGUCUGUGGGUCAUUGGUAUUUCUAUGAUCCACCAGCACCUCAUUUUUCUUUCCACACAAGUGACUCUGGCUGAGUGCACUCUCAUUCAUCUUAGCCUUCCCAUCUCACCACAUGAAGGCUAUCUCUAGUAUCUUCUCAUUUUAGGGCUCCAUCCCAUUUUUGCUCAACUUCUGCAACUAUGCAUAUAGUCAAAUGCCACUCAUAGUGAAAUAAAUUCAUCAUAACUGUGUUAUUUUCACUAAUACUGCCCUAAUUUAUGAAUGCAGCAGCCUCGCUGUACUCUUUUGUUCUAGAAUGUCCCAGCCCUUAAAUCCCCUCAGAGUAAGCUCUCUGAAAGGUAAUCUCUGCUACCAUCCCCGACUAACACCCAUAAGGAUUCCAGCCAAUGAAUAUUCAUCAACCUCUGUAGUCCAGCCUGACCAAUUUCUUCUUAUUCUCCUCUAUGAAUCAUAAGAACCUAUCAUCAGCUCACCACCACUCCUGUUUUCAGGGUUUAAUUUGAGGAUUAUCUAAAAAAGCAACCUCAUGUAGCAGGGUGGCCCCCCAAAUGCAGGUUCCAAGAACUCACUCAAGACCUGCUAGGUUUGAAUCCUGGUGUUUAGCUCUAGAGGCAUGGAUUUUGUAACCAUCUUCCUGGGUCAUCCUUGUGCACCUUGAACUUCCAAAGCCUUUGCUCACACUAUAUCUGUUUCUCGUCUCCAGAUAUUGUUAACUUGGAAUAAUGUCCCACCCCUGCUCUCCAAUUCCCCAGGGAAACCUUGUUCAUCUGUGAACCAUUUUCUCAGCAUCCCAA
rnacentral:lncRNA from 1 species